rnacentral:ncRNA from 2 species
CCCGAUGCCUCUGGAAAGUGGCGGCCCCCGGGCCGCCCGCCGAUGGGGAAAGGCGUUGCCCGCCGAAUCUCUCAGGCGCCCGGUCCCGGGUGAGGACAGAGGGAGAGGG